AUUGAACGCUGGCGGCAGGCCUAACACAUGCAAGUCGAGCGCGCGGCGGACGGGUGAGUAAUGUCUGGGAACCUGCCCGCUGGAGGGGGAUAACUACUGGAAACGGUAGCUAAUACCGCAUACCCUCAGAUGUGCCCAGAUGGGAUUAGCUCGUAGGUGGGGUAACGGCUCACCUCGGCGACGCUCCCUAGCUGGUCUGAGAGGAUGACCAGCCACACUGGAACUGAGACACGGUCCAGACUCCUACGGGAGGCAGCAGUGGGGAAUAUUGCACAAUGGGCGCAAGCCUGAUGCAGCCAUGCCGCGUGUAUGAAGAAGGCCUUCGGGUUGUAAAGUACUUUCAGCGGGGAGGCGUUACCGGCAGAAGAAGCACCGGCUAACUCCGUGCCAGCAGCCGCGGUAAUAC
rnacentral:rRNA from 1 species